rnacentral:rRNA from 1 species
UCAAACGAGAGUUUGAUCCUGGCUCAGAAUCAACGCUGGCGGCGUGCCUAACACAUGCAAGUCGAACGAGAAAGUGGAGCAAUCCAUGAGUACAGUGGCG